rnacentral:rRNA from 1 species
AACGUAGGUACCGAGCGUUAUCCGGAUUUACUGGGCGUAAAGCGCGUUCAGGCGGUAUGCCAAGUCGGGCAUGAAAUCGCUCGGCUCAACCGGGCGAGGUUGUCCGAUACUGGCAGACUGGAGGGCAGUAGAGGGUGGUGGAAUUCCGGGUGUAGUGGUGAAAUGCGUAGAGAUCCGGAGGAACACCAGUGGCGCAAGCGGCCACCUGGACUGUACCUGACGCUGAAACGCGAAAGCUAGGGGAGCGAACGGG